rnacentral:tmRNA from 1 species
GGGGAUGAAUUAGUUUCGACUAGUCAAAUGGAAUUUUAUACGCACGUCGUGUGGUGGCACGUUAAAUACAUUUUCGUUUUGCACGAAACAAAUAAACGCAAACAACAAUAAAUUAGCUUACGCUGCCUAGUGCCGUGAGCCGUCAACUUAGCGGUGCUGAUACGUUAAACUUGACGUCGGUUAUCAGCGAACAUUUAUGUGUGUUUCCUAGCGCAUAUAAAGGACUUUUAGGAUAGUUUUAAUCAAGUGUCAAUGUUAGUUGAUUAAGGUGAAUAUAGUCAUUGACUAAGCGUGUAGUGUAUGGAAUUUGUUUUGAUUAGGACAUGAGUGCAAAUCUCAUCAUCUCCACCA